UACGAAGGGGGCUAGCGUUGUUCGGAAUUACUGGGCGUAAAGCGCGCGCAGGCGGUCCUUUAAGUCAGGGGUGAAAGCCCAGAGCUCAACUCUGGAACUGCCUUUGAAACUAGAGGACUUGGGUACGGGAGAGGUGAGUGGAAUUCCGAGUGUAGAGGUGAAAUUCGUAGAUAUUCGGAAGAACACCAGUGGCGAAGGCGGCUCACUGGCCCGUUACCGACGCUCAGGCGCGACGGCGUGGGGAGCAAACAGG
rnacentral:rRNA from 1 species